rnacentral:lncRNA from 12 species
GAUUCUUGGACUUGGGCAGUGGCACCAUUAAGCCAUUGGAAAACCAGUGAAUGGAAACUGCACUCUUCAAGGAUGUGGUUUCUGUGGUCUGGCUCUCCCUGCUAUAGCAGUCAUGGCUUGGUGGGCAGGAAAGUAGGCAUGGAAGGAAGCUGGGCAAGAGAGUGAGGUAGUGUCAGUGGUAAUCUGAGUGGUUAGACCACUCGAACUGUGAAAAUUUAGUGUUGGUGAUUUCCUGGCUGCAACAGUUUUCUUUGAUGUAGUCUCCAGUCUCUAGGACCAGAGAGAUGCAAGAAUCAACAGAGAGGGAGUGUUGGAAAGGGAGGAGGACAAUGGCGUCGGAUUUCAAAUUUUAUGUAAAGGCCUUAAUUCUAUAUUGAUGUGACUUCUAGCUUCCAUGAAACUUAAAUACAGACCUUAUGAUGUUUGACAUUGGAUAAGAAAAUUCUCCACCUGGAUAAGCUGUUUCUGGAAAGCACUGGUGCAGCCUCUGUCAGAUCUCGUCAACCUACACGGUCUGCUCCGCCAACAGCUAAUAGCGAAAUGACUGCGAGGAAGCCAGUGACAGCGGUAGCUGUCGGCAUUUAUUUUACCUUUGGUUUCUGCUGCACGGAAAAUUCCAGCACUGAUGAGGUCUGAGCUGUGGGGGAGACACGGGGAAGUAAGUGUGCACUGGGUUUGAAGAAGGUGGCACUCUCAAAGCUGCCCUUUCUCCUACAGUAACAUGACACUUGGGCUGAGUAGUCUCCAGCAGUGUUAAUGCCUCCUUUGGACGUUUGUCCAUGAAGAUCGCAGGCUUGACAGGAAGCAUCCAGGGUUGUGUACUGUCACCAAGGCUCGAGGAC